GUGGUGAAGUUUCCAGAUCUGGCUCAAUCCUGCAAAUCCAUGAAUCUCUGGGGUGGCCCCCUGGGUGUCACCAGGUAGGGUCAGGGCAUGCACCCCUUUGCCUGUCAAUGGAAAGUUUGAGAACACGGUGUGAAUAACCAUUUUAAAAAGAAAUGCUUUCAAAGCUGAAAAGUAUGGAUCACCUAUGCAAGACUUCAGGUAUUCCUAGCACUUAUCAAGUAUUUUUUUCCAUGAACAGCACAGCAGAGCUUUUGAUGUGCUACGGAACAAUUUAACCAGACUUACUCAUGUGGAGUUCACUCAAGGAGAAAAGGAAUCUUGGUGAUAUAUUCUCUUGAUAUAAGGGCUUCAUCCUGUUCCCACUGAAGUCAAUGGCAAAACUCACAGUGAUUCCAAGGGUACAGGACAAGAAACUACUUUUAGAUUAACUUGUUGUUUCUAGUUUUCAAAAAACUAGUGGACACCAGACAAACCUAGAGUUCUUGCAAGUUCAAAAUGUAAACCCCAAAUGUGACAUUUUCUGCAAUCUUUCCUGGCGACGUCAUGGCAUCAAUCAACAUGCAGAAUGCAAAUCUACACAUCCAAAUUGCUGCCACUCCAUGGAAUGUCCUUUGCUUUAGUGGCAGAUCAGAAACACUUCCAGCACAUGAUCUUUCCCCUCAAGCUGGCUAUGGCCUGGAAGACCCUUGAGGAAACCCUGGUCUUUGUUCCGUCAGCUCUGCAGAAGGAGGUUAUCUGUAUAAUAAAUUAUUUAGACAAGUGGC